GCUGGAAGAGGUCAUGGCUGAUCUACAGUCAGUGAGACAAACUGAAAGUGCCUUGCGCAGGGAGAUUGAGACACGCAAGGCUGAGUGGCAAACCAAGAUGGAAGAAGCCAAGAUACGAGAGUCAGAGCUGAAAGAAACGCUGCGCGAAUUACAUCUCAAAGAGGAGGAGAGGAGCGAGAAAAUGAAGCAGUGUGAGGAAAGAGAGGCGAAUGCCCUGCAGAGAGGAGCUGAAGAGGAGAGACAGAAAUACAGGGUUGAGGUAGAGGAGUACAGAGAGCAGGUUCGACAACAUGCAUACACCAUUGUUGCCAUGGAGACGCGAAUUAACAAAGCUCAGCAGAGUGAGGAAAUAUGGAAAGAGAUGGAGGAGGAGAGAGACUCACUGAAGGAGCAACUCAAAGAGGCGCUCGGCAGGCUGGAGGGCUUCGAAAGCAACAGCACAUCUUACACAUCAGAAAAACAGCAGGAACCGGAUCAGAAAAUAACAUCCCUCCGGGCAUCUCUAAUCUCAUCCCAACAGGAAGUGGUCAGUCA
rnacentral:lncRNA from 1 species